GCACCCGUAGUCUAAUGGAUAGAACGAAGGCCUCCGACGCCUUUAAUGCAGGUUCGAUUCCUGUCGGGUGUACUA
rnacentral:tRNA from 1 species